rnacentral:rRNA from 1 species
AUUGAACGCUGGCGGCAGGCCUAACACAUGCAAGUCGAGCGAGCGGCGGGCGGGUGAGUAAUGUAUGGGGACUGCCCGUUAGAGGGGGAUCACCCCUGGAAACGGUAGCUAAUACCGCAUACUAUCGGAUAACCCAUAUGGGAUUAGCUAGUAGGUGAGGUAAUGGCUCACCUAGGCGACGCUCCCUAGCUGGUCUGAGAGGAUGAUCAGCCACACGGGGACUGAGACACGGCCCAGACUCCUACGGAGGCAGCAGUGGGGAAGAUUGCACAAUGGGCGCAAGCCUGAUGCAGCCAUGCGGCGUGUAUGAAGAAGGCCGUAGGGUUGUAAAGUACUUUCAGUCGGGAGGCGUUACCGACAGAAGAAGCACCGGCUAACUCCGUGCCAGCCGCCGCGGUAAUUC